AUUGAACGCUGGCGGCAUGCCUUACACAUGCAAGUCGAACGGCAGCACGGGAGCAAUCCUGGUGGCGAGUGGCGAACGGGUGAGUAAUGUAUCGGAACGUGCCCAGGCGUGGGGGAUAACGCAGCGAAAGCUGUGCGAAUACCGCAUACGAUCUCUGGAUGAAAGCGGGGGAUCGAAAGACCGCGCGCGAGUGGAGUGGCAGAUAUCAGAUUAGCUAGUUGUUGGGGUAAAGGCUCACCAAGGCGACGAUCUGUAGCUGGUCUGAGAGGACGACCAGCCACACUGGAACUGAGACACGGUCCAGACUCCUACGGGAGGCAGCAGUGGGGAAUUUUGGACAAUGGGCGCAAGCCUGAUCCAGCAAUGCCGCGUGCAGGAUGAAGGCCUUCGGGUUGUAAACUGCUUUUGUACGGAGCGAAAAGGCUUUCUCUAAUACAGGGGGCUCAUGACGGUACCGUAAGAAUAAGCACCGGCUAACUACGUGCCAGCCGCCGCGGUAA
rnacentral:rRNA from 1 species